ensembl:lncRNA
GAGCUCAGUGGUCUAAAAGGACUUGACGUGUGGAAUGAAGGUCUCCUAGCCCACAAUGUAUUCAGUCCUCCCCACUACCCAGCCUCACAAGGAUACCAAUGCAGCCGUGUCAAGUGACAUUCAUUUGGAAGUCUGUGAACAAAAGAGGACAUUUGUUGUAAACUGAAGAUACAAGCAAUGAGCAAGGGAAAUCCUGCCUUCCAGGAAAAUGCACGUAGCUGAUUCCUUCCCAAUUUGUGUGAAUAUGCCAAAUGCUGCUUCUGCCAAGCCUCUUGGUGUGAUGAAUUCACAGACCCUGCAAUGGGAAAGUCAGCAGCUGUAGAGGUGGGGCUAUUCCUGGUAGGAAGGAGGCAGCUACCAUGCUUGCGCCUGCUGACCGGACUGCUGUUUCAAUAGGAACUUCCUCUCCAGGGGAGUUGGUUCAUAAUUUUCCUCUUACUACUACUGGAAGUCCUAUAAUGGCCAUAUCACAGCCUGUACCCAUUCACAACAGGAAAUUCUGACAAUCCUGUCUGACAAUCUGCAGACAAUCUUGGCACGAGAAGAGGAAAAGUCCAGUCUUGUGUGUCAGCUUCUAUAUUAGAACCAGAACAAUCAUUUUUAUGGUAUAGACCAUGUUGUCACCUUCACAAGUGAUGUUGGGCUCCAAAAAGGAAAAUGUACUCUAGUGAAGUUCAAGUGUGAUGUCUGCAAGCAAGGACCCCAGAGAAGGCAACACUUUGAGGACCCUGAACAAAAACACUGUGGUGACUCUAAAUCCAAGGAAAGGCGCUUUGAUAGUGGGAGACGGUUUCUGGUGCAUGAGUUCCUUGUACGGUAUUAUCCUACGUGUUCAGGACAGCGGGGCCCCGUGGGAACUACGGGUCCUCACAGGCAUGCUGAAGUUAGCAACUAACCACUCACAAAAUCUGAUAGGCAUCUUACAUCCUCUAGCUUGGUUUUUCUCAGACAAGCAGAGUUUUGACACCUGUGCUGUGGAAGAGAAGAAUGCAUAACACAGUGCUUGGCACAUAGAAGGGCUCAACCAAUACUGCUGAAUAAGCCUGAAGUUUCUCCAAAUCACAGUAUUAUCAUUUCCUAGAAUAGCUGAGGAAGACCUGAGGUUGCCUCAGCCCUCUCAAGAGGUACCAAUGAAUGAUUUGAAGAAGACCAGAUUAGGAGUUAUAAGAACUUGAGAAUUUAAAUUGACCUUCAUGGGUCUGUAUUAUCUCAGUUAAGAAGACAAAGGUAAGUUUUGUGAAUGAACUCUAAUAGCAGAAAGCUUUUUGUGUAUAUUUUUGGAGAGAGAGCCAUGUGUACCUUGAGUUGAGUGCUUGGAGGACUCUGUGAUCCAACUCAAGGUUAAGAACCUAGGAAUUGCAUUCCCUUUAGAAAACAAGAGACUGUGAUUCUGAGAGUCCGAGGAUGAUUUUGCUCUCUGGAAGGCCAGCUGGGACAUCUGGAACUAUAGCUCUGCCAAUCUUGUCACCUUGGAGGCCUGUGACUGAUUGUUUUGACUGAAAGGAGGAGGAAAGGAUUUUGUUUCUAAAUGUCAACCCAGCCUCAGAUUCCCCAGCAAUUUAAGGAGUAUUAUUGAUCUUAUCAGGCAUGCUGGGGUGUAAUUGACCAUCGGAAAGAGACAAAUCAUUGAAAGACACUUGCCCUCAACAGAAAGUGACAUUGGCAAAGUGUAACCUCUGACACAACCUUUUUUUUGUAGAAUUUUUUUUUCCAUUUCUGCUUCCUUUCAUAAUGGCCUCUGUCAUAGGGUUACUGGAAAGAAUAACUCGUUAAUGGUGGGGGAAAAGUACUUGGGAAGAUGAUAUACUUUGGCACUUAAGUCUAUUGUUCAAAAACAAUACGAAAUAAUAUUUUUGUUGAAUGGACAUGUUUAGUAGGUGCUCUGACUUGGGGACUUGUCAAUAGUGAUAUGAUGCUAUUUGCCAGAAAUAUGAGCAGUUAAAAAAAUGUUAUCUUUCUCUAGAAGCUAUUUUCAAUGUAAAAUUCCAGCAUGGAAAGCUAGUUCUUGCAAUUUUUAAUGAGACAGGACUCUUAAUAAUGAUUUUUGGCUUAAUGUGUUAAUGAGUAGAGAUCUGAGGGAUAAAGGACUUACAAUGUAAUAAGGAAACUCAAAGAAAGAUUAGGCUCUAAUAAAAAUAAAUAGUUUUAAAAUUGAUUUUAAUAA